CACGGGGGGAGCAAGCGUUGUUCGGAAUCACUGGGCGUAAAGGGCGUGUAGGCGGUUAAGUAAGUGGGAUGUGAAAUCCCUCGGCUCACCCGAGGACCUGCAUCCCAAACUGCUUAGCUUGAGUAUGGGAGAGGAUGAUGGAAUUCCUGGUGUAGCGGUGAAAUGCGUAGAUAUCAGGAGGAACACCGGUGGCGGAGGCGCUCAUCUGGCCCAAUACUGACGCUGAGGCGCGAAAGCUAGGGGAGCAAACGGG
rnacentral:rRNA from 1 species